CCCCCUUACUGUGUUAUCUUAAUGUAAUAGGCCACUUAAAGCUCGGAGUUUUAGUUUUGAAUCUGUACAGUGGGAUUCAAAAUUGUCUACUCAUAGGUUGUGAUCAUUCACGUGAAAGAGAAUGUUUAUAAAAAAAGCACUUGAUUUACUAUGCUGUCCUCUGCAAGUGUGAGGUUUUAUUUGUCUCUCUGGAUGUGUGUCUUAGAAACCUGCUCUAUGAACUGUCAGAAAGCAUCGGCUCAGAGAACUUAAAGGACAUGAUCUUCCUUCUGAGGGAAUCGAUUCCCAAAAUCCAGAUGAUAACUUACUUGGAAAUGCCUCUUCCCCCAUACUGUUGAACUCCUCAGGGACAAACACUGUUCCUUAUUCAUCAUUGCAAAACCUGGUGACUAGUCGCCGUGCAGGUAAUGUUUCAAGAAUGAAUGGAUCAUCAGAAGGCAAGUAAAUGUGAUUCCAUUGAUUCUCUUGCAGACCUCUCUAAGUUUCCUGGCAUAUCUGGAGAAACAAGGUCUAAUAGAUGAAGAUAAUCUGAGGUUACUGGAGGAUCUCUGCAGAAGAGUUGUACCUAACCUUAUGAGAAAGAUAGAAAAAUAUAAAAGAGAGAAAGCCUCCCAGGUAGUGAGACCUCCAAUAGACAGAGAACCUGAGUCAUUGCAUCAAAGAGGGGAAGAACCAUUUUCCCGUUCAGACUUUGAACAGUUGUUAGAAGCCUUACCAGCCUUACAGGUAGGUUCAUUGGUGUGUUGGUAAAUGUUUAACCACCAGCUCUUCUCUCCGCCCUCAACACCCCACCCCAAAAAGAAAGAGAGAGAGAGAGACCCUGAUGUGUAGUGUUUGGUGUAAAUGUUCCCACCAUGGCUGAUUUCAUGUUACCAACAUGACAUCAAUUUGAUUGCAGAAUUUCUGAAACUCUGACAGAUGGCUUUCACUAGCUGGUUUGAGUUGACUCCAGGACACCACUGGGUUGUUGUGAGAUGGUUCUGUUCUUAUCGAUGUGAUUUGAUCAAGGCCAGCUUCCUGAACAUAUAGCCUGUGUAGUCCCCACACGGCCCAUGCUUUUUUAAUGCUCAGCAGUCACUGUUUCAAAAUUCUUAAUAAUGUUUGAACAAGGGGGCCUCACAGUUUAUCUUGCAUGGUGCCCCACAAAUUAUGUAGCCUGUCCUUUCCAGAGGACAAGAUUUGGGUUCCUAUAGUGCCCAGCAGUAGAAAGGUGAGUAGAGGGGAAACACUGGGAGAUUUGCAGUCUGUUUCUUAACAACAUGAUCAUGAUCCUUGAGAGACACAUAUGACAUUCUUUCCUGGGAUUUAUGUUUCUUCCCAGCAGAUUUGGGCAGUUUUAUUUUGCUACAUCAAUCAGGAUC